rnacentral:tRNA from 1 species
GCCAGUUUGGCUCAGUGGAUAGAGUGUCAGUCUGCAGACUGAAGCAUCCCAGUUCCAUUCUGGUGAAGGGGCC